rnacentral:rRNA from 1 species
UAAACGACUCUCGGCAACGGAUAUCUCGGCUCACGCAUCGAUGAAGAACGUAGCAAAAUGCGAUACUUGGUGUGAAUUGCAGAAUCCCGUGAACCAUCGAGUUUUUGAACGCAAGUUGCGCCCGAAGCCAUUCGGCCGAGGGCACGUCUGCCUGGGCGUCACGU